rnacentral:sRNA from 1 species
UUUUCAAAUUUAAAUGUUAAAUUUAAAUACGUGAAAAUGGUUAGACUUAGCAUCCCGUCCUUUUGGUCCGUAAGUAUUGUGGUGUCAUAAGUUCAUCAUAUUUUCACGUAUUU